rnacentral:rRNA from 1 species
ACAGCAGUAGCCGCGGGAAUACAGAGGAUGCAAGCGUUAUCCGGAAUGAUUGGGCGUAAAGCGUCUGUAGGUGGCUUUUCAAGUCCGCCGUCAAAUCCCAGGGCUCAACCCUGGACAGGCGGUGGAAACUACCAAGCUGGAGUACGGUAGGGGCAGAGGGAAUUUCCAGUGGAGCGGUGAAAUGCGUUGAGAUCGAAAAGAACACCAACGGUGAAAGCACUCUGCUGGGCCGGCACUGACACUGAGAGACGAAAGCUAGGGGAGCAAAUGGGAUUAGAUACCCGUGUAGUCCCUGUCUCUUAUAC